rnacentral:rRNA from 1 species
AUUGAACGCUGGCGGCAUGCCUUACACAUGCAAGUCGAACGGUAACGCGGGGGCAACCCUGGCGACGAGUGGCGAACGGGUGAGUAAUACAUCGGAACGUGUCCUGUUGUGGGGGAUAACCCAUCGAAAGGUGAGCUAAUACCGCAUGAUCUGGAGACAGCAAAGCAGGGGACCGGUAACGGCCUUGCGCGAUUGGAGCGGCCGAUGUCCGAUUAGCUAGUUGGUGGGGAAAGGCCCACCAAGGCAACGAUCGGUAGCUGGUCUGAGAGGAUGAUCAGCCACACUGGGACUGAGACACGGCCCAGACUCCUACGGGAGGCAGCAGUGGGGAAUUUUGGACAAUGGGGGCAACCCUGAUCCAGCCAUGCCGCGUGAGUGAAGAA